GUUGGUGAACCAGCGGAGGGAUCAUUACCGAGUUAUACAACUCCCAAACCCCUGUGAACUUACCUAUAACGUUGCUUCGGCGGGAAACCGACGGCCCCGUAAGACGGGCCGCCCCCGCCAGAGGACCCCCUAACUCUUGUUAUAUCCUGUUUCUCUGAGUACAACAAGCAAAUAAAUUAAAACUUUCAACAACGGAUCUCUUGGCUCUGGCAUCGAUGAAGAACGCAGCGAAACGCGAUAAGUAAUGUGAAUUGCAGAAUUUAGUGAAUCAUCGAAUCUUUGAACGCACAUUGCGCCCGCCAGUAUUCUGGCGGGCAUGCCUGUCCGAGCGUCAUUACAACCCUCAGGCCCCCGGGCCUGGUGUUGGGGAUCGGCGGAGCCCUCCGGGGCACACGCCGUCCCCCAAAUUCAGUGGCGGUCUCGCUGCAGCCUCCAUUGCGUAGUAGCUAACACCUCGCAACUGGAAGGCGGCGCGGCCACGCCGUAAAACCCCCCCAACUUCUGAAUGUUGACCUCGGAUCAGGUAGGAAUACCCGCUGAAC
rnacentral:rRNA from 1 species